GGCUCUUUGUUUUUUUCAUAUAAAGAGUCGAGCCUGCCCAGUGAAAAUUUUAACGGCCGCGGUACUCUGACCGUGCAAAGGUAGCAUAAUCAUUUGCCUUAUAAUUGAAGGCUAGUAUGAAUGGUUUGACGAAAGCAGACCUGUCUCUUUUUUAUUAUCUAGAAUUUAACUUUUAGGUGAAGAGGCCUAAAUACUAUUGAAGGACAAGAAGACCCUGUCGAGCUUAAAAGAACAGGUAGAAGUUAAUAUGUUUUAAAAUAAAUAGCCUACUGAGCUUUUUAGUUGGGGCGACUAAGGAACAAAAAAAGCUUCUUAACCAAAGAAAACUAACAAGUUUAGAUCCAACCACUUUGAUCAAAGAAAUUAGCUACCGCAGGGAUAACAGCAUAAUCUCUCUUGAGAGACCUAAUCGAAAGAGGGGGUUGUGACCUCGAUGUUGGACUAGAAUAUCCUAAAGAUGCAGAAGUCUUUAAGGGUUGGUCUGUUCGACCAUAAAAAUUCU
rnacentral:rRNA from 1 species